ACAAGAGGAAGAGACGGCUAACUCUGUGCCAGCAGCCGCGGUAAUACAGAGGUCUCAAGCGUUGUUCGGAAUCAACUGGGCGUAAAGGGUGCGUAGGUGGCGUGGUAAGUCAGAUGUGAAAGCCCGGGGCUCAACCUCGGAAUUGCAUCCGAUACUGCCAUGCUCGAGUACUGAAGAGGUGACUAGAAUUCUAGGUGUAGCAGUGAAAUGCGUAGAUAUCUAGAGGAAUACCAAAGGCGAAGGCAGGUCACUGGGCAGUUACUGACACUGAGGCACGAAGGCCAGGGGAGCGAACGGGAUUAGAUACCCCGGUAGUCCUGGCAGUAAACGGUGCACGUUUGGUAUGGGCGCAAUCGACCGCGCCCGUGCCGGAGCUAACGCGUUAAACGUGCCGCCUGGGAAGUACGGUCGCAAGAUUAAAACUCAAAGAAAUUGACGGGG
rnacentral:rRNA from 1 species